UUAAUUGAUGUUAAUUUUUAAAAAUCCCUGUAUUCUGAAUUUAGGCCUUACAACCCAUCUGGAACCGCCUCCUUGGGGCCAAAUUAGCACAAGAGCUCACUCAGGAGGUAGAACCUCCAGUGACAGAGGGAGUCUAUAGGCCUCCUGAGCUCCCUAGGCCUAGAGUAUUUUUUUUCAAAAAAAUAGCAUUUGGUGAAUAGGGACUGCAGGGGUUUCAUUGGAAUCUCUUGCAAGCCAAAAAGUAAUGGUUUAACUCUCAGAAGACACUGACAUGAUGAAUGAUUGUAUUAAUUUAGAUAUUCUGAGCUGCACAACAACCCUGCAGAGUUGUGCAAUCACACCUUAAAGAGGCCUUUCCCAGCUCCUUUCAUGUCCAAGGAGGUGAAAAUCCUAAUCCUCAUGAAUUUAUCUCUGUGAAAUCAGACUUGGAACUCUAUGAGAUCUGAUCGAUUUGCUUAAUUUUAAAAAAGCACGUAAUUUAGGUGCGAUCUCGAGAAUCAAAUCAAAUCAAAUUAAAAUUGCUCAAUGCUGUAUCACACCACUUCCGUCAACAUCCCAAAGUCUCCGCCCACGCCCCGCCCACGCCCUCCGAUUGGAGGCGAUCCGCCCAAUCUGAGAAUGGUGACGUCACCGCCCGUUUCCACCAAUCCUGGCAGGGGAGGGCGGAGCUCGCUUCGCAGCAGCAGCAGCAGCGGAGGGGCGACUGGAAGCUCGGAGUUGGCUGAUCUGCAGAUUCCCAAUGCAGCUGAAAAUAGCAGUCCUGGGCGGAGGAGUAACUGGUCUCAGCUUGCUAUUACCUUGCCAGAAGCUCGCUGGCAUCUAAGGUGAGAACUUGCCCAUUGAAUCGAUCAAUCCAUCAAUCAAAGUGAUUUAUUGCUGUUAGAGAUCAGUAUUUUAUUUAUAGACAAAUAAAAUUUUAGGACAGAGUUAAACUACAUUUGUGAAACAACCCAUGUCACAUCUGAUAUACAAAAUAUAAAAUCCAGGCUGUAGCACAUAUCAAAUUAUAACAACUGUUUGGUUUAGCAAUGGGCAUUUUAGGCUCCUCGAAUUACAACAGUUCAUUGGAUGACUGUUCGAAGUUACAACGGCAUUUUUAAAAAAGGUGACUUAUGACCAUUUUUCACACUAACGAUUGUUGCAGCAUUCACAAGAUCGAGCUUCAAAUGCUUGGCAACUAGCUUGUAUUUACGACGGUCACAGUGCAGUCCCCUUUUGCAAUCCUUUCAAACUUGAUAGGGAAGCCGGAUUCACUUAAUGACGGUGUUACCGACUUAACUGCAGCGAUUCGCUGAACCGCUGCGGCAAGAAAUGGGGCCAAAACUCACUUGGCAACGGACGUCAGGGGUUUCAUUUUGGUCUUACACCAAGGACCCAAAACAUGAAUUACAGUCCAGAAAUGCCUUCAGCUUAACUGUUUUAUUAGUCACAGUUUAAAGUCCAAAAAGUAAAUGAUGAGGCAAAAGGAAAACAAGAACAAACCGUCUCGGUGAGAGUUCCGAAGCAAACCAAGAUAAGUAAUCAUACGUUCCAAGUUCCAAGCAGAUAUCCGAGGAAAGCCCUUGGGAAGAACACCAACAAAUAGAAACCUCCUUCAAAGGAAACACUAACUUUGACUCCAGCAAUUCUGACUAUGCAGUUACAAACUUAUAUACAUAGCUCCCAGCUGUAAGCCCUGAGGAGGAUCAUGGCCCUCUCCUCCUGAGUAGACCAUGCUUUUCCCUGAUCCUCUCCUCCCUGUGUGCCCUGGGAUGGAUAGGAGAUGGGCCUGGAUCCUCCUCUGAUUGCUCAGCCGGCCUCUGCCCUUCCCCAGCCUCCUCCACCACCUCUGGAGCCACACUCCCACUCCCUGUUGGCUGUUCCUCCUCUUCCCUCCAGUCAGUCUCCACCAGGGGCAUGACACUACCUACCUGUAUGGGUGUUUUGGCCCUGAUGGAAAUUAAGAGGGGAAAGAGUUGUUUUCAGAAUCCUCUCUUCCUCCUCUUAAUUUCCAUCUGGGCCAAAACAACCAUAAAGGAAGUUCUUGAUGUAUGAGCAACUCUUAUCAUUUAAUGACCCCAUAAUCCAGUGGUGGCUAACCUUUUUGGGCUCCUUUGCCAAAAUUUUUUGUUUGUGCUGCACCCCGAAGGCAAUGCAC
rnacentral:lncRNA from 1 species